UACGUAGGGGGCGAGCGUUGUCCGGAUUUACUGGGCGUAAAGCGCGUGUAGGCGGCUUCUUAAGUCGGGUGUGAAAGCCCGGGGCUCAACCCCGGGAUGCCGCCCGAGACUGGGAGGCUUGAGGUCGGAAGAGGGGAGUGGAAUUCCAGGUGUAGCGGUGAAAUGCGUAGAUAUUGGGAGGAACACCAGUGGCGAAGGCGGCUCACUGGACUGGUACUGACGCUGAUGCGCGAAAGCGUGGGGAGCAAACAGG
rnacentral:rRNA from 1 species